ACAAGUGUGAACACCUGCUGAAUUUAAGCAUAUAAGUAGGCAGAGGAUGAGAUACACAACUGGAUUGGCACAGUAGUUGCGAAUGAACAGCAAAUUGCUCAAAUUGAAUUUGGGGACACCUGGCCCUCAACAUGAAAUCUCUGAAUGCUCCACCAACAAAGG
rnacentral:rRNA from 11 species